rnacentral:rRNA from 1 species
AACGAACGCUGGCGGCAUGCCUAACACAUGCAAGUCGAACGAGACCUUCGGGUCUAGUGGCGCACGUGUGCGUAACGCGUGGGAACCUGCCCUUAGGUUCGGAAUAACUCCCCGAAAGGGGUGCUAAUACCGGAUAAUGUCUUCGGACCAAAGAUUUAUCGCCAUUGGAUGGGCCCGCGUUGGAUUAGCUAGUUGGUAGGGUAAAAGCCUACCAAGGCGACGAUCCAUAGCUGGUCUGAGAGGAUGAUCAGCCACACUGGGACUGAGACACGGACCAGACUCCUACGGGAGGCAGCAGUGGGGAAUAUUGGACAAUGGGGGCAAGCCUGAGACAGCAAUGCCGCGUGAGUGAUGAAGGCCUUAGGGUUGUAAAGCUCUUUUACCCGGGAUGAUAAUGACAGUACCGGGAGAAUAAGCUCCGGCUAACUCCGUG